rnacentral:sRNA from 1 species
UAACGUCAUUUCCGACGUACUGCCCGGC